AGAAAUCAAAUAGCAGCUCCCAUGCAUUGGCACCGUCCACAGUGCCUGACCCUGUGCUAAAUGCUUUUCAGUCUUCAUUGUGCUUGAAUCCUCACAAUAAUCCUGCAAGACCCUUCCUGGAUAUGGUGUACCACGCGCUGGACAGCCCGGAUGAUGAUUACCAUGCCCUGUUCGUGCUCUGCCUCCUCUAUGCCAUGUCUCAUAAUAAAGGCAUGGAUCCUGAAAAAUUAGAGCGAAUCCAGCUCCCCGUGCCAAAUGCGGCCGAGAAGACCACCUACAACCACCCGCUGGCUGAAAGACUCAUCAGGAUCAUGAACAACGCUGCCCAGCCAGGUGCCCACUUGGGGUGUUGUCUGUCCACAGGGCCACGCAGUUGUAGGAAGCAGACCCCACUGGGAGCCUGAGCCCUGGGUGCUAGGCCUGAGCCUUCUGAGAAUCUGGGCCCAUCCCAACCUCUCCCUCUGCCUCUCAACCCCUGCAUCCUGGGCCAGCCCUCCUGCCUGCUGGGACUGUGUCUUUAGCUCUGGGUCUCCUUUUGCCAUCCCAUCCCCUGCCACUUGGUAACCAUCUUUCUUCUUCCACACCCCGCACUUCUUUUGCUGAGAUUGUCAAUGUUUGUCGCCCCCACCCCGCUAUGUCUGGGUAGCCCAAGGUAAUAUUAUGAGAAAGAACUAGGCUGACAGUGGAGUGAGGGGAGAACAUUCGAAGGUUUAACGGGCCAGUAGACGUAGGAGACAGAGUUUUGUUACCAGCAACAGUUGUGGGUAGGUAUGGAAACAGGUAGGAGUGAGAAUGCGCUUGGAGAAAAACUCACUUGGACUAGGCAGCUGAAGAGAGGUUACGCUAGUGCUGGGGCUGAGUGGGGUGGGGCCAGGAGAGCCGAUGGAGCCGAGACCACCCAGUCCCUGGUCAUCCCUGGGGCUUGUAUUAUGUUUGGGAAGACCUAUUUUUUGUGAUAGCGCUUUUUCUUUUCUUUUUCUUUUUCUUUUUUUUUGAGAUGGAGUCUUGCACUGUCACCUGGGCUGGAGUGUAAUGGAGUGAUCUCUGCUCACGGCAACCUCCGCCUCCCAGGUUCACGCGAUUCUCCUGCCUCAGCCUUCUGAGUAGCUGGGAUUACAGGUGCACACUACCACACCCAGCUAUUUUUUUGUAUUUUUAGUUGAGACAGGGUUUCACUAUGUUGGCCAGACUGGUCUCGAACUCCUGACCUCAUGAUCCACCCACCUCGGCCUCCCAAAGUGCUGGGAUUACAAGCUUGGGCCACUGCGCCCAGCCUGCUGUUUCAUUUUUUAGGCAGAUCCCCUUUUCUCACUUAUUUUCACCUGACUUACAAUACAUUAACAAAGGGACAGGCAGGGAGGUGGGCAGAGGGGUGUAUCUGCCUUUAGUUUUUUCCCAGUGACCUAUCGUGGUCUCUGAUGUUUCCAAGGCCUUAGAGGCAUAGCCUGAAGGCCUCCUCCUCUCCACAGUGGGACCUUUCACCAGAAAUAAACUUGAAAGACCCACAGAGGAGUUUGCAUAAGAGCAGUUGUCCUUCAGUCAGUCAGUUACAGAUGCUUCUAGGAGAGAUGCCAGAUGCGGGUUUUGGCUUUCUGAGCACCUGCAGUCUACCACUACCCAGCUAUGAGACCUUGGACAAGUCACUUCACUUUUCUAAGCCUCAAUCUUUCGAGCACUCAUUUCAAUAGGUUUUUAUAGAGAUUCCUUCAGGAGCUAUAUAAAGUGUUUGGCACUGUGCCUCGUUCACAGUAGUAAGUAAGUAAUAGCAUAGUAAGUAAGCUGUGUUAGAGCUCUCUUGGUCUUGACAGAAACCCGACUCACUCUGGCUUAAACAAUACAAGCAGACAAAGUUGUGCUAGCUUAUAAAGACUGCUGAGGCCUAGCUUCAGGCAAAGCUGGAUCCAGGGGCUCAAACAGUAUUUUUCUACCUUUGGCCUCUGCCACCUUCUGGGUUGACGAGAUAAAUGCCAGCCCCUCCAGCUAGCCCUUUCUCCACUGAGACUCUAGACUUACUCUACGGGAGACACUUAGAUUUGAACAGUCUAGUUGGAAGAGAGAUCUUGAAGUGAUAUUUGUAGAAUACUUUACAAAGAUUAAAAAUGCUGGCAAGGGUGAGGAGGUGGCCGAUAUAGAUUAUAAUGCUUGUGCCCCUCAGGGCGUCACCACGGUCCUCUGCUCAGCCCGGCACAAGGAGAAUUUCUCUUAACCCAGCAGUUCCAGCAGAUUGUGAGGUUGAGCCUUACUGGCUCUGACUGGCUCCCUUGCCUGGUUCUUACCUAGUCACUGGGACCAAGGGAAUAUGGAGCACCCCAACUGGCCAGGUGAUGUGCCCAACCCUGGAAGGGGGAAGGAGGAUCAGCUCCACCCAAAUCACAUGACCCAGAGUGGGACUGGCGGCUCUCUAAAGGAAGUGGGGGUGCAGGGCCACUUUCCAGGCCUCAACAGUGUUUAGUCACCCUCUUUUUCCUGCACCCUGUCAGUAAAGGGACUUCAGGGAAGUAUUUGGUAUAGGUAGUUUUGAUGGAGAACAUUGAAUUCUAACUGAUGGGGAAUGGUUUGGGCAUGGGGGGUUCUCACUGUGUCCCCACUGGAUGUUGGGAGCCAUGAGCAGUUGGUCUAUCAUCUGACCUGCUAGCCUCAACGUGGAUAGGCAGGAGUCUUGGGUUUAAGGGCGCCCCACCCUGGGUGUGCAAGGCUUACCCUGGUGUGCUCUGCAGAUGGGAAGAUCCGGCUGGCGACGCUGGAGCUGAGCUGCCUGCUUCUGAAGCAGCAAGUCCUGAUGAGUGCUGGCUGCAUCAUGAAGGACGUGCACCUGGCCUGCCUGGAGGGUGCAAGAGAAGAAAGUGUUCACCUUGUACGACAUUUUUAUAAGGGAGAAGACAUUUUUUUGGACAUGUUUGAAGAUGAGUAUAGGAGCAUGACAGUAAGUGAGGGGCUGGGACACACUUGGGCUGGCGUGCGCCUGUGUCCCUGCCAAGCUCCCCCCUGCCCAUCCCAGAGGGAGUUUUUUGACUUAGGGCUUUGUGACCAAAUAGCACAGAUUGAUGGGGAAGCAGAUUUAGAAUGGUGUCUUGUGAUCCCCACCACUGUUAAAAUUUCAGACUAUAUUCUCUCCCUCUAACAUGGGAGGUGUCCGAUGAAUCAGGAUGAUUCUCUGCUAUGAAUAGUAAUUUUGGGGACAGUAUCAUUUUAUUGAGGACUUACUCUGUGCUGGAUGUAUAUAGCAUGCUGUACAGAUUAUAUCUCUUCAUCCUCACACCAACCAACGGUAAUAGCUACUGCCAUUGUCCCUUUCUUGCUGAAUUAGUCUCUUCUCGUACUGCUAUGCAGAAAUACCCAAGACUGGGUAAUUUAUAAAGAAAAGAGGUUCAAUUGACUCACAGUUCCACAUUGCUGGAGAGGCCUCAGGAAACUUACGAUCAUGGUGGAAGGCACCUCUUCACAGGGUGACAGGAGAGAGAAUUAGUGCAAGGAGAAAAGAUGCCAGAUGCUUAGAAAACCAUCAGAUUUCAUGAGAACUUACUCACUAUCAUGAGAACAGUAUAAGGGAAACUGCCCCCAUGAUUCAGUUACCGCCACAUGGUUCUGCCCUUGACACGUGGGGAUUCUCAUGUGUCUCACCAUUCAAGGUGCGAUUUGGGUGGGGACACAGAGCCAAACCAUAUCACUUGCUAAUGAGGAAACUGAGUCAGAGAGGUCUAGUGAUGUACCCAAGUCUGCCUGGCCGGUGAGUGGCAGAGCCACGCUUCUAGAGGAGGACAGCCCAGCCCCCCAUCCCCCGUGCUUCUCCAUGUAUUAUGUCCCUGCCUCCCUGUUUGCUGCUCCACUGGAAUGUUUCACCAUGCAGCUCUCCCUCCAGUCUGUAGUGCCAGCACAUGGGCUUCCUUCCUCCUCCCGCAGGCAGAAUCGCGGGAAGCCAUAGGUUCAGAAGAUCCCAGCUUUCUCUGCUUUGCGCGUUUGUCUCUGUUAUCCCAGCACCUGCCCUUGGCUAGGUACUCCAUAAGUACGUGAUAAGUGAUCCUUCUUGUGGAUAUUACCCACCAAAGCAUGUGUGAUUUGGGAAGUUUAUAAUAAACCUAAGUGUUUUAAGUGUCAAAAAG
rnacentral:sRNA from 1 species